rnacentral:rRNA from 1 species
CAGCAGCCGCGGUAAUACCGGCGGCCCGAGUGGCGGCCACUAUUAUUGGGCUUAAAGCGUCCGUAGCCGGGUUGGUUAGUCUCCCGGGAAAUCUGGCCGCUUAACGGUCAGAAUUCCGGGAGAUACUGCCAGCCUAGGGACCGGGAGAGGCCGAGGGGAUUCCCGGAGUAGGGGUGAAAUCCUAUAAUCCCGGGAGGACCACCUGUGGCGAAGGCGCUCGGCUGGAACGGGUCCGACGGUGAGGGACGAAGGCCAGGGGAGCAAACCGGAUUAGAUACCCGGGUAGUCCUGGCGGUAAACGAUGCGGACUUUGUGUCGGACAAGCUAUGAGCUUGUCCGGUGCCGGAGGGAAACCGUUAAGUCCGCCGCCUGGGGAGUACGGCCGCAAGGCUGAAACUUAAAGGAAUUGGCGGG